UAUUUUGUUAAUGGUUUAAAUUCUAAAUCUCCUAAUUUAGAAAGAUAGUUCGAUUCUAUCCAAAAUAA
rnacentral:tRNA from 1 species